rnacentral:lncRNA from 1 species
UCUCUUGCGCCUCCGCCCGACACAACGUCAGCGGGUGUUGCCAGGCGGAAGUCGCCCUUAAGACCAUGUGGGUUCUUCGCGGGGCCCGAAUCUAGGUCAGGAGCGUAAUAUUGGUCACGAGCGCGGGGAACCCACAUACACACACACACACACACACACGCACGCGCGCACACACACACACACACACGCGCGCACCUCCUCCUCUCCUCCCCAAGUCCGACUCACUGUCACAGGUAAACACGCUGCGACGAGGCGCUCCUCGGAAGAGCUCGCGACGUCGGAGCCAAAGCCGUCUGUGGUGUUCGUGUGGUGGCUUAGGAUGGUGACUUAGUGCUCUCUCUACACGAGGCCGGGAAGGGCUUCCUUAGACGCCUCGACUAGGGCGAAGGAGCGAAAUAGCGAAGGAGACGAGUGAUAAAACUGCUGAAAGAAUCUGCCUUUGAUUCCGACAUGACCCGCGGACUUCUGCUGGGGACUCCUGCUGGCCUGACUCCUGCUGAAGCCCAUCAUAUCCUUUUGCAAGAAUGGACUGCUUAUUUUUUCACGAGAUUUUUUAAUGAUUAUCAUCGUGAAACUUGUAGAAUGUCGCUGAAUAACCUUCUCACGGAGGCGAUGACUACAUACGCCGGGCGGCCUCCUGCUCUUGUCUGACACAACGAUGUUUCCUUCAGGAUUUCUUGAAACAGGGAUGCAGAGGUUGCAGCAGGCAGAUCUGCACCCUCUGCCUCUACCCCGCUCUCCUCGGUCGACUAAGCCAGCGAGGGUCUCACGCACUGCAAGUGUGAAGGACGAGGGUGACAGGGUAAAUGAGUAAAAGGUCUUUCUCUUUCUCCUUUGCGGUGCAAGAAAAACAGGGAAUAUAAGAGUCUUUCUUGUUAUGGUAUUUCUUCGUGUCGAUAUACCGUUGGUCUUCCAUUAGCUUUGUUAACGCCGGCGCUCUUCGCUUGUCCAUCGCGAGAGAUUUUCUGGAAGAGAGGCUAUGGCGCUGGGUAGUCGAUGCGUUGGAGACUCGGCUAGAUCUCAAAAGACGAUUUUGAUUCUUUUUCUAUGGGGGACUUGCCUCGCUUGACCUUUUUAUUUCCAGCUGGAACUUAAACAAGGUUAGGUCACUCCAAAAGGCUUGAUGCCCUAAUAACGCCUGUCUUACCGGUGUCAUUACCUGCCCAUUUAUACGAGCUUAUAGCAGUGUUUCUCAUGUGCGUUGGAUGAGCACUGUGCCGAGAUGUCUGUAUUCAACGCAUUUCUUUCCACACAUCAUUUUUUUUACGACAGAAAUUCCUAAUCUACCUAACCUGAGAAAAAUCUAGUCAAACUGGAAUGUCUAGGACAUGACGCUGUGAGCUUUGAUUGCAUGUGACCCAGGCUAUAGAUAAUGCUGACCUCGCUUCGACGUAGGUCAGUCUUAUGACAGUUUUACUCAACGUUUGACUUAGCUGACUCACGCGAGAACUACUGAACAUAGCGCCACUCCUUGUGUCUAUUAAUGUGUGAUAAUCCCCCACUCUUAUGUUUUGUGCAAUGUUGCUACACAAGUUUCUGAUUAACUAUCAACUUUUCCCCCCGAUUGUCAACAGCGGCUUUAUUUUUGAAAAUCUAGGGCGUGAGCGGACGUGUUUUGAGAAAGGACUUAUCUUAGACGCUGUUUGCUUAGUGUUGACAAUAUUGAAUGAUUUUAUUUCUGCAUACUGCAUAGACGAGUUCAGACAUGUUAGAACUAGAAGUACAAUUUUCCUAUAGAUGAUUGCUGUAUCACGUUUUAUUCAGUUAAAUCAGCAUUACAUUUGUUACUGAAGAGAUAACAGUUCGCUUCGGGUUAUGGUUAUGAUAGAAUGUAGUGUUAGUUUAUUUAUUUAUUUAUUUCGAAUUUCUUCUUUGACGAAUACGCAGUACAAAAAAAAAUGACUUUCCCAACGACAGUAGAGUGUGACCUUAUUAAUUUGACUCGUCAGCUCAUUAAGGACUGACUUCCGGCUGUUGGGUAAUUAGACAUUCAAAGGGGUAAUUAAGGGGAUAAACAAUAACGUCACUGAAGACUAUUAGACAGCUGACAUUAUGACACGACUCGACUAACUAACUGUGCCAUUUUAUUGUUGAUUCUGACUGACAGGCACUUGAUGGUGACAUUUCUAUUUUUAAAAAAUCGACAUGAUAUUGA